GUGAAGAACGUAGCGAAAUGCGAUAAGUAAUGUGAAUUGCAGAAUUCAGUGAAUCAUCGAAUCUUUGAACGCACAUUGCGCCCGCCAGUAUUCUGGCGGGCAUGCCUGUUCGAGCGUCAUUUCAACCAUCAAGCCCCAGGCUUGUGUUGGGGACCUGCGGCUGCCGCAGGCCCUGAAAACCAGUGGCGGGCUCGCUGUCACACCGGGCGUAGUAGAUUUUAUCUCGCUCAGGGCGUGCUGCGGGUUCCGGCCGUUAAAAAGCCUUUUUUACCCAAGGUUGACCUCGGAUCAGGUAGGAAGACCCGCUGAACUUAAGCAUAUCAAUAACGGAGA
rnacentral:misc_RNA from 1 species